rnacentral:rRNA from 1 species
CAACCGCAUUAGUACCUCACGAUUGAGCUCAGAUCAGGCACGGGUACCCGCUGAACUUUAGCGGUAUCACUAAGCGGAGGGACAAGAGACAAACACGGAUUGGUCGACAU